GCAGCAGCAGCAGCAAGACAGUGUCACUACUGCUGGAGCAACAAACAAAAGCAGGCAAGCAAAGAGGUAUUCCCUUUCGCUAAAGAACAAGCUCCCUUACAGUGAAGUUGUAGACACGAGUUGUGGAAGUAGUAGAGUCGGCGGCGCUUGAAACACCGGCUGCAACGAGCAAGCCAAUUGCUACGACGAGAAUGCGGGUGUGGAUCUGCAUUGCCUCCUCCCUGCUGCUGCUACCAGAGACGAGACAAACUAUGGAGACAAUGGGGACGAUCAAACUUUAUGCGCCCUCCGUCGUGCACGGCACUUCCGGCUAUGAAGUUCAAUUUAUGUGCAUACAGGGCCUCUUGACUAGAGUGACAGUCCUGGUCCCAGUAACUCCAGCGGAUUUUACAUCUAGUUCCUCCUAAGGUGGUGGUUCUUCUGUCAACGUUGUGGAGGCUUUCGCUACCUGCUGUGGCACGUUCCGGAGCGUUAUGUCAAUUGCUAGAUCGGUGCGUAUACACUUCCGUGGCAGCAGCGCCCAUUGCGAAUCUGGAGCAGCGAGAGAGCACACUGGAAAGACAACAAAGGUUUAUUUUUUUCCCUUCGAAUUUUACCAGGCAGUGUCACUCACGGGGCCUUGACUCUUCGCGUUUGUUAGUUGAGUGGCGUGGUCCUGUCUUCUAUCGACGAGGAAGAACACUGAAGAACAAAAAAGAAAAGUAGAAAAAUACAAGCCAAAGAAAAUAUGGCGCAUGCAGGUUUUGAACCUGCGACCUAGCUCGAAACCGUUAAUUAAACAUGUUUAAUCGUAAA